AGUUCACGAUUUCCCAAAUACGAUUUUCCGUUCAAAUAAAUGCGCAUACAAUUAUUAGCAGCUCUAUUGAGACAGUCUCUGCUUUCUACUCACAGGAAAUAUACUCUUGGGAACGGAAAAUUGCUGUAGGUAUCCUAGUUUCCUUACAGAAGCUCUUGGGAACGGAAAAUUGCU